GUUAUUUUGGCAGAAUAGUGCAAUAGAUUUAGAAUCUUUUUAUGUGGUUUUUAUCACAAAUAAUA
rnacentral:tRNA from 1 species